rnacentral:rRNA from 1 species
UACCUACGGGGGGCAGCAGUGGGGGAUAUUGGACAAUGGGGGAAACCCUGAUCCAGCGACGCCGCGUGAGUGAAGAAGUAUUUCGGUAUGUAAAGCUCUGUCAGCAGGGAAGAAAGAAAUGACGGUACCUGACCAAGAAGCCCCGGCUAACUACGUGCCAGCAGCCGCGGUAAUACGUAGGGGGCAAGCGUUAUCCGGAAUUACUGGGCGUAAAGGAUGCGUAGGCGGUUAAACAAGUUAUAUGUUAAAUAUAUAGGCUUAACCUGUAGAAAGCAUAUAAAACUGUUUAACUAGAGUGCAGGAGA